rnacentral:lncRNA from 1 species
UUUUAUAUUUAUUUAUUUAUUUAUUUAUUUAUUUAUUUAUUUUUAUUUAUUUAUUUAUUUAUUUAUUUAUUUAUUUAUUUAUUUAUUUUUCCUUUGUUUUUAGAUCGCAGGAUUGUCUAUGUGGAAAAUCCUGAGGUGUCUACGGGAAAACUAUUAGCGUGGUAACCGGGUCAACAGUAAAACCGUUGUGUUAGUGGAACCAGCAAUAAACGGGUGGAAAGUGAGUUAAGGAACCCCAUUUCGGACCGCAGUGCAUCGUGUCAGGAGCGCGUCCCCGCAGGCUGUGUGGGGUCAGCGCGGGAGCUGCAGAGCCCUGCUGAGCGCAGUCAGCUCAGUGGCCAGAAAGCUCGGGAGCCGCCUCUGUGGGCUGGAGACACAGUGUUCGUGAGCUGACUGUUCUCUCCAGAUUAAUUUAUCCCAACAGCCCGCGUAUAAAACAUGGAAAUUGGCAAGCUGGUUCUAAAAAACAUAUUGUCCUGCCAAGGACCUGGAAUACAACCAAACACUUUUCAAAAAGAAAAACUUUCUCCCAUCCGGUUCAUGUGGAUGUCUAACCAUGUUUUGUGCUGGAAAUUCUAAAGGUUCGUCUUCUUCGCCCCAAGUUGUGACAUGCCUGGAGCUGUGGGGGGUGGUGUGAGGCCGGGACGAGCCACGGGGCCACCUGCCCGCCCUGUGCUGUGCUCCGGGGCUGGCGGCUCCAGCCGGGAUUCGGGAUGACCCCUCCUGCCAAUCCGCCGCUGAGCGGGUCUGGACCCUCAUCUGCAAGGACUCGGGUCUUUAAUAUCGCGAAGGCCGGGUGCGCGUGGGCGACCUGCCCCCUGGUGACCAGGGGAGGUGACGGGCGUAGAGGGGACAGGGCGACCGCCCAUCAGGUUGGAGGCUCUGCCCCUGGAUCCGAAGCCUGGCUGCCCUGGGCCCUGCGCUCAGUCGCACUUGAAUAUUUCUACGUGUAGACGCGCAGGACGACCCCGAAAUGCGGGGACUCAACUUACCGAGCGAAGUUGCAGGUGCGUUUCCUGUGACACAGCAUCACAUGGGGGCGGAGGGACCCAGGAGGGGGUGCGGGCUGGUUGCUUCUGGAAGGUUUGAGAAAAGGCAUGUCGAGAGGAGCCUGUAAAGGCUUUAUCAUCUCCGCUCCGGGUUUCCACUCUCCGCGGAACCAUCUACAGGAGGGAGGCCCCAGAGGCUCCAGCAGGAGGAGCGUUUUCAGAGUUUCCUUCUAGAACCCGGGUGGGUGGGCCCUUGUCGGACAUCACGGGUGCACCUGCG